UACGGAGGGAGCGAGCGUUGUUCGGAAUUACUGGGCGUAAAGCGUGCGCAGGCGGCUUUGCAAGUCGGGAGUGAAAUCCCAGGGCUUAACCCUGGAAUUGCUUUCGAAACUGCAAGGCUUGAGUAUCGGAGAGGUUAGCGGAAUUCCCAGUGUAGAGGUAAAAUUCGUAGAUAUUGGGAGGAACACCAGUGGCGUAAGCGGCUAACUAGACGAUAACUGACGCUCAGGCACGAAAGCGUGGGGAUCAAACAGG
rnacentral:rRNA from 1 species